AUGGUGCCAAGAACGAAGAAGGAAGCUCCUGCCCCUCCUAAAGCCGAAGCCAAAGCGAAGGCUUUGCAAGGCCAAGAAGGCAGUGUUGAAAGAUGUCCACAGCCACAAAAAAAACAAGAUCCACAUGUCACCCACCUUCCGGCGGCCCAAGACACUGUGACUCCGGAGGCAGCCCAAAUAUCCUUGGAAGAGCACCCCCAGGAGAAAUAAGCUUGACCACCAUGUUAUCAUCAAGUUUCCGCUGACCACUGAGUAGGCUGUGAAGAAGAUAGAAAACAACAGCCUACUUGUGUUCACUGUGGAUGUUAAAGCCAACAAGCACCAGAUCAAACAGGCUGUGAAGAAGUUUGUGACAUUGAUGUGGCCAAAGUCAACACUCUGAUUCAGUCUGAUGGAGAGAGGAAGGCAUAUGUUCGACUGGCUCCUGACUACGAUGCUUUGGUUGUUGCCACCAAAAUUGGGAUCACCUAA
rnacentral:lncRNA from 1 species